rnacentral:lncRNA from 1 species
UGAUGAUGUUGCAUUAUGAGGGCAUGUCAUUCAAUUGUAUUGCCUGAGGUGGUGUGACGGAAGCUCUUUGCACGGAGUUUGUAUCCUGCCGACGAUGCAGAUCUUGCUCGGGCACAUGCUUAUGUUAAGGCUGGAGAUGAUCUCUGAGCUUGGGCGUGUUAUUAGGCGGGUGUUGCACUGAGAGGGCAUGUCAUUCAAUUGUAUUGCCUGACCUUGUGUGGCGGAAGCUUAUGCGCAUUCCCUGUUGCGAGGAGUUUGGAUCUGGUCGAUGAUACAUGUCUAGCAUGGGCUUGUGCUUGUGUUGAGGCUGGAGAUGAGUGCUGUGCUCCAACGUGCUAAUGAUCGGAUGUUGCACUCUGAGGGCAAUGUCAUUCGGUUGUAUUGCUUGAGGUGGUGUGGCGGAAAGUUCUUAGCACGGGAGUUCGCAUCCUACCGACGAUGCAAAUCUUGCACGGGCGCAUGCUUAUGUUAAGGCUGGAGUUGAUCUCUAAGCUUGGGCGUGUUAUUAGGCGGAUGUUGCACUGAGAGGGC